GUGAUCCCCAGAGACGCACAGCAGCCAUCCACAAUGGGCCCUCGGUUUAUCUCCAUGGCAGGCUCUUCCCCUGCAAAGGAAACCAGCCCAAGUGCAGGCGAUGCCGGAGCUGGGACCCUCCACCUCCGGGCCAGGGCGGGGUGGAAGAUUGAAGAUGUGCUGGACACUCCCCAGGUCUUCAUCCCUUCCCCCACCGCCCCCAGGUGAAUCUGCAAAUGAUGAGGACAGACCAUAGCUGGAUACCAUCAGAGUCCCCUGACCUGCUAUUUCGAUGUGCAAAUCCUGGCUGGUAAAGAGAAUUGGGAUCGGGGCACUGAGGCAGGUAAGUGUAGGGCUAGUACUGGGAGAGUGUGCGUGGGUGGAGAGGGGCGAGUGUGCCUAGACUUGGUUUCUGUGGCUCCCAGAGACCCGGUAUGUUGGUACUCACUGCCUCUACUUGCAUUGUUCAUGCGAGGAUGCUUUCGGGCUAGAGACGGCACCAGGAUCUGCUUUUCAGGCUACAAUUCAUUUAAAGGGGUAUAGAAGGGUCCCUGGCAGGAUCUAGGGGAACCAUGCCCUCAGUGGCUAUUUUGCAAAUCAGGACUAAAUCAUGGAGCCAGUUUCGGUUGCAUGAAAUCAUCAUAUUCGGAGUUCUGUUGGGGCUCAGCGGUCACGACCCCAACUAGUAUCUGUGACUACGUGGCUUUGAUGCCUGCAUUCGCUCAGUGCGCUAAGAAUCUAGUGUUGCCCUGAGCUGUGGUGUAGGUCGCCGUCAUGGCUUGGAUCCCACAUUGCUAUGACUGUGGUGUAGGCCAGCAGCCGAGGCUCUGGUUUGACCCCUAGCCUGGGAACUUCCAUAUACUGCAGGUGCAGCCCUAAAAAGCAAAAAAAAAAAAAAAAAAAAACAAAAAAAAAAAGGAAAAGAAAGAAAUACUGUAUUCUUUCUCACCUUAAGUCUUUUUUUCUCUCUGUCUAGAACUCUAUACCGUCUCUCUUUUUCUUUUUCCCCUUACUUUGCCUACCUAAUUUUAUCCACCCAUCAAAUCUUGGUCAAUUUUUCCAAGUUUGGGCUCUGAGUUUGGACCUGGUGGCCCAACUCUAUGCCUCUCAAUACCCUAUUCUUCCUUCAGUUGUUAAUAUUCAUCACAAGAUGUAUUCUCCUCUUUUUGACUGGAGUAUAAUUUCCCCAAAGGCAGGAAACUUAACCUAUUCUAACCUCAGAUCAAACAAAUUGACUUAAAUAGGAGUUCCUUGUGGCUUAGCAGGUUAAGGGUUAAGAAUCCAGCAUUGUCACUGCAGUGGCUUGGGUUUAUUCCCCGGCCUGGGAACGUCUGCAUGCUGCAAGAGUGGCCAAAACAAAUAAAACAAAAC
rnacentral:lncRNA from 1 species